rnacentral:rRNA from 1 species
CCAACAGGGAUUGCCUCAGUAACGGCGAGUGAAGCGGCAACAGCUCAAAUUUGAAAUCUGGCCCCCCGGCCCGAGUUGUAAUUUGCAGAGGAUGCUUCUGGCGCGGUGCCUUCCAAGUCCCCUGGAACGGGGCGCCAUAGAGGGUGAGAGCCCCGUCCGGUUGGCCGCCAAGCCUGUGUGAAGCUCCUUCGACGAGUCGAGUAGUUUGGGAAUGCUGCUCUAAAUGGGAGGUAGACCCCUUCUAAAGCUAAAUACCGGCCAGAGACCGAUAGCGCACAAGUAGAGUGAUCGAAAGAUGAAAAGCACUUUGAAAAGAGGGUUAAACAGUACGUGAAAUUGUUGAAAGGGAAGCGCUUGUGACCAGACGUGCACCGGGUGUUCAGCGGGCGUUCUCGCCCGUGCAUUCGCCCCGGUGCAGGCCAGCGUCGGUUCGGGCGGGGGGAUAAAGGCGCCAGGAACGUAUCUCCCCCGGGAGUGUUAUAGCCUGGCGCGUCAUGCCCCCGCCUGGACCGAGGUUCGCGCUCCGCAAGGACGCUGGCGUAAUGGUCCCCAGCGGCCCGUCUUGAAACACGGACCAAGGAGUCGAGGUUUUACGCGAGUGUCUGGGUGUCAAACCCGCACGCGUAAUGAAAGUGAACGUAGGUGGGAGCUUCGGCGCACCACCGACCGAUCCUGAUGUUUUCGGAUGGAUUUGAGUAGGAGCGUAGGGCCUCGGACCCGAAAGAUGGUGAAACUAUACUUGGAUAGGGUGAAGCCAGAGGAAACUCUGGUGGAGGCUCGCAGCGGUUCUGACGUGCAAAUCGAUCGUCAAAUCUGAGUAUGGGGGCGAAAGACUAAUCGAACCAU